AGUGAACGCUAGUGGCGUGCUUAACACAUGCAAGUCGAACGGACGAUAUUUGUGCUUGCACAAAUAAAGUUAGUGGCAAACGGGUGAGUAAUACAUGAGAAUUUUCCUUGCAGUACGGAAUAACUAUUGGAAACAGUAGCUAAUACCGUAUAUUGCCGAGAGGUGAAAGAUUUAUCGCUGCAAGAUAAGCCCAUGCAAGAUUAGCUUGUUGGUAAGGUAAUGGCUUACCAAGGCUACGAUCUUUAGCUGGUUUGAGAGGAUGAUCAGCCACACUGGAACUUAGACACGGUCCAGACUCCUACGGGAGGCAGCAGUCGGGAAUAUUGUGCAAUGGGGGCAACCCUGACACAGCCAUGCCGCGUGAGUGAAGAAGGCCUUAGGGUUGUAAAUCUCUUUCAGAUGUGAGGAUGAUGACGAUAGCAUCACAAGAAGCUCCGGCUAACUUCGUGCCAGCCGCCGCCGUAAA
rnacentral:rRNA from 1 species